UCUCCUCCAAUCUGAAGUUUCUCGGCAACCAUAUCAGAAAAGGCUUUGUCUUCUUCUUCAGUUGUCAGUUUCUCCGCCACAUAAUCUCUACCCGACACACUUUUAUCUUCCCCUCGUUGCUCCUCUACUCCACUUCCACCUCCGGAGAUAGGUAACUUCGUCGUCACGGCAGACUCUGUUUCUUGAUCCUUCUCAUUGACCGGAGUCAACUUCUCAUCAACAGUUCCCGCCACUUGAGUUUGAUCUCCCACCGGAAUUUCUCCGGAGUAACCUAGCAUUGAAGCAAACUUCUCUGUGUAAGUGCUCUGUUUUGGCUCCUCUGUUUUCUCAUCUCUCGUCUCCUCAAAAUCAUCUCUGGACUCCUUAAACUCAUCUCUUUCUUUAGGAUGAGAAAGUUCCGGUGAGAAUUGAUCAAGAGUCUCCGUCUUUGGGUCUCUUCCCAGCUCAGUCUCUACUUCCACAUCAUCACUUCUCGCCGGAAAUUUAUCCUCUUCUGAUGCCUCACCGUAUCCAGGUCUUCCCUUCGCCAGAAAAUCUGGUUCUCCGUCAAAUCCCGUCGGCACAUCCUUGUCGAUAUCAGAUUCGUUCUUCAGAUCCAACUCAUGACUUCUCACCGGAAAAUUUCCUCCCAACGGAGCUCCUAAACCGCCGUCAGAUUCCGGCGAAUACUCGUUUCUUCCAGAAUCGUUCUUCUGAUCAAAUUCUUUUUCCAGCUCAGCUCCUGAUUCACUACCAAAGCCCAUCGGAGAAUUCUUGUCGUUUCCAGAUUCAGUCUUCAGAUCAAAUUCAUGGCUUCUUGAUGGAGAAUUCGUGUCCAUUCCAGUUUCAGUCUUCAUAUCAAAAUCAUGACUUCUCGUCGGAAAAUCUUUUUCCAGCUCAGCUCCUGACUCGUCACCAAAGCCCACCGGGAAAACAACUCCUGAUUCACCUGGAAAUUUCGCCGGCGAAUCCUUACCGAGAACAGAGUCAAAGUCCUGAUCAAACUCUUUGAAUUCUUUGCUUCUCGUCGACAAGUCUCUUUCAAAUUGUCCUGGCUUCUGAUCAGGAGACUCAUCAGUCACUUCCAUAUUACCAAAAGACUCAGCAAUCUCCGGUACUCCUCCAGUUUCUUCUUUGGUGGGAUCAGUAACUUUGGACUGAUAAUUAGAUACACCACUAAGAUAGUCUGAAACAGCCGACUCUUCCUCCAACGUUAUCGGGGUCUCGACGUUGACCUUCCGUUGACCAUCAAGAUAUUCAUCAUCACCACUUGGAGCAAACGUACUCGUUACAUCCUCUGUUCCAGAAAGCAGAGAGACCGGAGUGUUCAAUGACUCAUGAUGAGUCUCUCUACUCUCUUCUCUGUCUGACAAUUCGGACAGAGGAUGAUGAAUCGGUACAUCUCUUUUCUCUUCCUUGUCCGAUGUAAACGUCGUCCUUACAGAAUGAGCCGGUGCAUCGUGUCCGUAAGAGGCCUCUUGUACUGGUACAGAUUCAGUGGGUUUGGUGUAAUCGGAAGACACGACAGGAAACACCUUUGUCCCUGGUGGAAUAAUUUCCUCCGAUGCUGGAACAUUAGUUUCUCUAGGUUUACCUGUUACGCCUGGUGCAUCGAUCACUUCAGGUUCUAGCUCGUCAUCAUCAUCAUCUUCUU
rnacentral:antisense_RNA from 1 species